GACGGAGACGUUGCAGCCUUGCAUUUACGGGCCUUCCCCUUUUCUCUCUCUCCUCUGUCAUCGCUGUUGCCCAAUCACACGAGAACGCUUUUGCUUCUCUCUCUCUCUCUCCAUAUUAUUUUUCUUUCUUGCGGAUUCUCUUGUUCUUCUUCUUCUUCUCGCUCCUCUCUCUCUCUGUCUCGCCAUCAAACCCACCCUCCUCCUCCUCGUCUAUAAGUUGAACCGUGCCUCUCCUACAUGACCCCUUCUUUGUGCCUCCUGCCUAACCCCCCCCUCGCCCCAUCCCCUCUUGCCUGUUAAGACUCCUUCCCCCUUCUCUCUUUCGCCUUCCCCCCCUAAAAAUUAGUCCUCCUUUGGGGGUGCCCUUGUACAGUUCUUAGCUCAGAUCUUGAUCUUGAAACUGCCGGCAUCUAUUGCACGCCAUCCAAA